CCUCAAUUCAUAAACCAAACUCAAUCGUGACAUCACCGUAAGAAACAACAGACAUAGCCAGAAACUCUAUCUCAAAACAUACAUGAGCCAAUCAAUUUUAACAUACGAAGACUGUAAAUGCAAAGAACAUAAACAUAACCAUCCGAAGUGUAUCCUUGUCCGAAAUUAAAUGUAAACAGCAUAAACUUAAAUUUAACGCCUUGACAGAAAUAUUACCCAAAUCGACCAAGCUAUCACUUUCUGUUCGCUACUCUGAGUCUGUU
rnacentral:lncRNA from 1 species